rnacentral:rRNA from 1 species
GUUGACUGCGUACCUUUUGUAUAAUGGGUCAGCGACUUAUAUUCUGUAGCAAGGUUAACCGAAUAGGGGAGCCGGAGGGAAACCGAGUCUUAAUUGGGCGUUAAGUUGCAGGGUAUAGACCCGAAACCCGGUGAUCUAGCCAUGGGCAGGUUGAAGGUUGGGUAACACUAACUGGAGGACCGAACCGACUAAUGUUGAAAAAUUAGCGGAUGACCUGUGGCUGGGGGUGAAAGGCCAAUCAAACCGGGAGAUAGCUGGUUCUCCCCGAAAGCUAUUUAGGUAGCGCCUCGUGAAUUCAUCUCCGGGGGUAGAGCACUGUUUCGGCUAGGGGGCCAUCCCGGCUUACCAACCCGAUGCAAACUGCGAAUACCGGAGAAUGUUAUCACGGGAGACACACGGCGGGUGCUAACGUCCGUCGUGAAGAGGGAAACAACCCAGACCGCCAGCUAAGGUCCCAAAGUCAUGGUUAAGUGGGAAACGAUGUGGGAAGGCCCAGACAGCCAGGAUGUUGGCUUAGAAGCAGCCAUCAUUUAAAGAAAGCGUAAUAGCUCACUGGUCGAGUCGGCCUGCGCGGAAGAUGUAACGGGGCUAAACCAUGCACCGAAGCUGCGGCAGCGACACUCAGGUGUUGUUGGGUAGGGGAGCGUUCUGUAAGCCUGCGAAGGUGGCCUGUGAGGGUUGCUGGAGGUAUCAGAAGUGCGAAUGCUGACAUAAGUAACGAUAAAGCGGGUGAAAAGCCCGCUCGCCGGAAGACCAAGGGUUCCUGUCCAACGUUAAUCGGGGCAGGGUGAGUCGACCCCUAAGGCGAGGCCGAAAGGCGUAGUCGAUGGGAAACGGGUUAAUAUUCCCGUACUUGGUGUUACUGCGAAGGGGGGACGGAGAAGGCUAUGUUGGCCGGGCGACGGUUGUCCCGGUUUAAGCGUGUAGGCUGGUUUUCCAGGCAAAUCCGGAAAAUCAAGGCUGAGGCGUGACGACGAGGCACUACGGUGCUGAAGCAACAAAUGCCCUGCUUCCAGGAAAAGCCUCUAAGCAUCAGGUAACAUCAAAUCGUACCCCAAACCGACACAGGUGGUCAGGUAGAGAAUACCAAGGCGCUUGAGAGAACUCGGGUGAAGGAACUAGGCAAAAUGGUGCCGUAACUUCGGGAGAAGGCACGCUGACAUGUAGGUGAAGUGAUUUACUCAUGGAGCUGAAGUCAGUCGAAGAUACCAGCUGGCUGCAACUGUUUAUUAAAAACACAGCACUGUGCAAACACGAAAGUGGACGUAUACGGUGUGACGCCUGCCCGGUGCCGGAAGGUUAAUUGAUGGGGUCAGCGCAAGCGAAGCUCCUGAUCGAAGCCCCGGUAAACGGCGGCCGUAACUAUAACGGUCCUAAGGUAGCGAAAUUCCUUGUCGGGUAAGUUCCGACCUGCACGAAUGGCGUAAUGAUGGCCAGGCUGUCUCCACCCGAGACUCAGUGAAAUUGAACUCGCUGUGAAGAUGCAGUGUACCCGCGGCAAGACGGAAAGACCCCGUGAACCUUUACUAUAGCUUGACACUGAACAUUGAGCCUUGAUGUGUAGGAUAGGUGGGAGGCUUUGAAGUGUGGACGCCAGUCUGCAUGGAGCCGACCUUGAAAUACCACCCUUUAAUGUUUGAUGUUCUAACGUGGACCCGUGAUCCGGGUUGCGGACAGUGUCUGGUGGGUAGUUUGACUGGGGCGGUCUCCUCCUAAAGAGUAACGGAGGAGCACGAAGGUUGGCUAAUCCUGGUCGGACAUCAGGAGGUUAGUGCAAUGGCAUAAGCCAGCUUGACUGCGAGCGUGACGGCGCGAGCAGGUGCGAAAGCAGGUCAUAGUGAUCCGGUGGUUCUGAAUGGAAGGGCCAUCGCUCAACGGAUAAAAGGUACUCCGGGGAUAACAGGCUGAUACCGCCCAAGAGUUCAUAUCGACGGCGGUGUUUGGCACCUCGAUGUCGGCUCAUCACAUCCUGGGGCUGAAGUAGGUCCCAAGGGUAUGGCUGUUCGCCAUUUAAAGUGGUACGCGAGCUGGGUUUAGAACGUCGUGAGACAGUUCGGUCCCUAUCUGCCGUGGGCGCUGGAGAACUGAGGGGGGCUGCUCCUAGUACGAGAGGACCGGAGUGGACGCAUCACUGGUGUUCGGGUUGUCAUGCCAAUGGCACUGCCCGGUAGCUAAAUGCGGAAGAGAUAAGUGCUGAAAGCAUCUAAGCACGAAACUUGCCCCGAGAUGAGUUCUCCCUGAGACUUUAGGUCUCCUGAAGGAACGUUGAAGACGACGACGUUGAUAGGCCGGGUGUGUAAGCGCAGCGAUGCGUUGAGCUAACCGGUACUAAUGAACCGUGAGGCUUAACCUUAC